UGUUCUCCUGGGAAUAUUCAGGUGACAGCCUGUUGCUAUGGUAACAGUGGGUGCCUGGAAUGUUUGGUUGACAGUCCACUGCUGACCAGUUGUGCUGGGCACUCCCCAGAGCAGCCUCGUGGCUGAAGCCCUGGGGAGGCUCUCCAGGCACAAAAUGGUCUUGGUGGGAUCUCCUGCCCUGGAGAACCCCUUCUGGAGUCAGAGCUGUGGUGGUGGCUUUAGGACAAGGUCUUUUUAUACCAGGAAGGAGACAGAGAGGAGAAAGUAGAUAGUUUCUGGUUACAUAAUGAAAGUAAUGGGAGUUCAACAAAGGAAUUUCAGAGACCAGGAUCCAGAGCAAAGUUUAACAGGGAAGAUCCAAACAGUGCCAAGUCCAGAAUGAUCCCUCUUUGCACUGGGUGCUUUCUGAUCCUACUGGGAAAAUACUUUAAAAAUUAGCACAAGAAGCAAGUGGAUCCUUGCAGAGAAAUACAGCAGAGACUUCAUAGAUUUGAGUUUCCUUCCUGUUGGUAGAAUGUGGAUAACAUGUAGAGAAGUGACUCAGAUUCAUCACAGGAAAAUAUCACGUGUGAUAAGUCUGUACUGCUUAAAUGUUUUUAAAGCAACGGUUUCCUCAGAGUCACUGUUGAACUGUGAAAAAUGUGUUGAAUUUGGGGCAUGUAAAAGUAAUAGAUGAGAGAGGAAUCAUUAAAAUAAAUACAUGAUGUGUGUGCUUUUCAUUCCUACACAGUGAUCAUCUGUAUUAUUAUGUAUUAAUACAAAUAAUUAACUAUACAUAUAAUUAAAAUCAUUCAGCUACAGCUAUUUUCUCAGUCAGUAGAGACCUGUUCCUACUUCAUUUCUUGUUGUAUG